rnacentral:rRNA from 1 species
AGUGGCGAACGGGUGAGCAAUAUAUCGGAACGUGCCCUAGAGUGGGGGAUAACUAGUCGAAAGAUUAGCUAAUACCGCAUACGAUCUACGGAUGAAAGUGGGGGAUCGCAAGACCUCAUGCUCCUGGAGCGGCCGAUAUCUGAUUAGCUAGUUGGUGGGGUAAAAGCCUACCAAGGCAACGAUCAGUAGCUGGUCUGAGAGGACGACCAGCCACACUGGGACUGAGACACGGCCCAGACUCCUACGGGAGGCAGCAGUGGGGAAUUUUGGACAAUGGGGGCAACCCUGAUCCAGCAAUGCCGCGUGAGUGAAGAAGGCCUUCGGGUUGUAAAGCUCUUUUGUCAGGGAAGAAACGGUGGUAGCUAAUAUCUACUACUAAUGACGGUACCUGAAGAAUAAGCACCGGCUAACUACGUGCCAGCAGCCGCGGUAAUACGUAGGGUGCAAGCGUUAAUCGGAAUUACUGGGCGUAAAGCGUGCGCAGGCGGUUGUGUAAGACAGAUGUGAAAUCCCCGGGCUCAACCUGGGAAUUGCAUUUGUGACUGCACGGCUAGAGUGUGUCAGAGGGGGGUAGAAUUCCACGUGUAGCAGUGAAAUGCGUAGAUAUGUGGAGGAAUACCGAUGGCGAAGGCAGCCCCCUGGGAUAACACUGACGCUCAUGCACGAAAGCGUGGGGGGCAAACAGGAUUAGAUACCCAGGUAGUCCACGCCCUAAACGAUGUCUACUAGUUGUCGGGUCUUAAUUGACUUGGUAACGCAGCUAACGCGUGAAGUAGACCGCCUGGGGAGUACGGUCGCAAGAUUAAAACUCAAAGGAAUUGACGGGGACCCGCACAAGCGGUGGAUGAUGUGGAUUAAUUCGAUGCAACGCGAAAAACCUUACCUACCCUUGACAUGGAUGGAAUCCCGAAGAGAUUUGGGAGUGCUCGAAAGAGAACCAUCACACAGGUGCUGCAUGGCUGUCGUCAGCUCGUGUCGUGAGAUGUUGGGUUAAGUCCCGCAACGAGCGCAACCCUUGUCAUUAGUUGCUACGAAAGGGCACUCUAAUGAGACUGCCGGUGACAAACCGGAGGAAGGUGGGGAUGACGUCAAGUCCUCAUGGCCCUUAUGGGUAGGGCUUCACACGUCAUACAAUGGUACAUACAGAGGGCCGCCAACCCGCGAGGGGGAGCUAAUCCCAGAAAGUGUAUCGUAGUCCGGAUUGGAGUCUGCAACUCGACUCCAUGAAGUUGGAAUCGCUAGUAAUCGCGGAUCAGCAUGUCGCGGUGAAUACGUUCCCGGGUCUUGUACACACCGCCCGUCA